UAACACAAAUCGGCGACAAGAAAAUCCGACGAUGAGCGCCAGUGGGGUUCCAAUUUGUGUCCGCCCGCCAGUUUGUGUGUCACUAUCUUCUUCACGCUUCUGUGUUGAUAUCUUCUUCACUCGUCGUCCCUAGGUGGUGAUUUUGGUCAUUCUCGUGGAUAUGGUUAAGCUGUAUUCAGUUUGUGGUGAGUGGAUGCAAAACUUGUAGCUGGAAACUUCGUCAUGCGAAGUCAUUAUCGGUAGAAGAAGACUGGACUGAAGCCAAAAUAAAUUUUAGAAAGGAAUAGAAUGUCAUACGGUGUUCACACAUAUUAUAAAUAGGCAUGGAGAGUAAAAGAGGCAGCUGAACUUUUGGUUAGAGGUACUCCUAAUGACAGUUAUCACAACAUUGCAAAGUGGUUGUUUAUGACCAAGGAACAAAAUCAUGGUUCAGUUGUGUAUCUUGACGUUGAUCCUCUUAAUAAUAAAUUCAGGAAAAAUUCAAGGGAACUUUUCUUGUAGCUACAGCUCAAUAUGGGGAUUAUCAUCUAUACAUGUUAGCUUUUGCUAUUGUCGAUUCUGAAAAAGAAAAAUCUUGGAGCUGGUUUUUUAGAUGUCUUCAAACAAUCGUUCCUGAUUCAGCGGAUUUGGUGUUCGUUUCUGAUCGUGCUCCAUCAAUUACCAAUUGCUCUUUCAGAAUUGUAUCCAGCUUCCCACCAUGGUAUAUGCAUAUUUCAUCUUGGAAACAACAUGAAAGUAAAGUUAAGAGGACAGUCUUAUCUGCCACUUGUAGAAUCUACUGCUAAUGCUUAUACUCAGGUAGAGUUUUCAAAACAUUUCAGAGACAUAGAAGUUGCGAAUCUGUAUUUGACUAAGUAUUUGGAAGAAGAAGAUUUCAGAAAAUGGGGUCAAUCUUAUGCUCCUUCAAAUCGCUACAAUAUAAUGACUACUAACAUUGCUGAAUCUUUCAAUUCAUUGUUAAGUGAACCACGGGUGCUACUUAAUGGUUUCACCAGAGAUGUGCACUUUCUGCCAAGCACAACAAGCGUGUCACUCCUAAAGAGUCGAGAUGUUGGUAUCAAGAUUCUCAGAUGCUAUGAAGAUUGACGUCUUCCAAGUGGAUGAAGAUGAAUUCGAGGUGAAAGAUGAUGUGAACAAGUUCAUUGUUGAGGUAAAGAAAAGACAGUUUAGUUGUUGUGUCUUUGACAUUGAAAACAUAUCGUGCAUCCAUGGGAUUGCUGGAGCAAAGCGGUCCAAUAGGGAUGAGAAUGAGUUUGUUAAUGAUAGUCAUUUGACUUUUACUUGGGGCAAAGCUUAUUCUGAGAGCGUACACCCAAAUGGAGAUGUACAGAAUUGGAUUUUCCCUGAAUUGAUUAGCAAUUUCUUAUGUGGUCCUCGAGGGAGUAAGCUUAGUAGUGGAAGACCGCUAAAAAGCGAAUUCGCUUUAAGGGAGUGUUUGGCGUGCUGGGCUCAAAAUCACAAAGUCAAAAAUGCAGUAGAUAUGGACAAGGAGAUUAAGAAAAUGUCCUUAACAUUCAACAUACAAGUGAUAUAUCAUGGU